CGUGUAGGCGGCUUGGUAAGUCGGAUGUGAAAGCCCCGGGCUCAACCCGGGAAGUGCAUUCGAAACUGCUAGGCUUGAGUAAGAGAGAGGAAAGUGGAAUUCCUGGUGUAGAGGUGAAAUUCGUAGAUAUCAGGAGGAACACCGGUGGCGAAGGCGACUUUCUGGCUCUAUACUGACGCUGAGACGCGAAAGCGUGGGUAGCAAACAGGAUUAGAUACCCUGGUAGUCC
rnacentral:rRNA from 1 species